rnacentral:lncRNA from 10 species
CCAGGGACUGAGAGAGGGAACAGGAAAUUGGCAACGUGUUGGACCUUCCGGAGCUUCUCAGAAGACAGAGGGUUUUCUUUUGAGGCUGUUGUACAGUGGCCUGAUUAUAGCUCACUGUAGCCUCGAAAUUCUGGGCCGAAAUGAUCCGCCUGCCUCAGCCUCCAAAGUAGCUGAGACUACAGGUAUUGUUUGGGUUUUAAUACAGACAAAUCAACUCAAUCAAAGAAACCAACUCAAAGAAAGAUGGGUCUACAUACAACAAAACUGAACAAAAUCUGCAAGAAGAGUGAUUCAUACAUGGGCUAUUGAGG